rnacentral:rRNA from 1 species
GCAGCAGGCACGCAAAUUACCCACUCCCGGCACGGGGAGGUAGUGACAAAAAAUAACGAUACGGGACUCUAUUGAGGCCCCGUAAUCGGAAUGAGUACACUUUAAAUCCUUUAACAAGGAUCCAUUGGAGGGCAAGUCUGGUGCCAGCAGCCGCGGUAAUUCCAGCUCCAAUAGCGUAUAUUAAAGUUGUUGCGGUUAAAAAGCUCGUAGUUGGUUCUGCGUGCCGCGCUGUCGGUUCGCCGCCUGUCGGUGUAACUGGCAUGUCGCGGCAUGUCCUGUCGGUGGUGAACGGGAUCCACGGUACUGCAUAGGCUUCUUUAGUCGAUGUUAGUGUCGUGUGUAUUUCCGUUUGCCGAUCUCUCCUACUCCGGUGCUCUUAAACGAGUGUCGAGGUAGGCCGACACGUUCACUUUGAACAAAUUAGAGUGCUUAAAGCAGGCUGAAAUAUCUGCCUGAAUAGUAGUGCAUGGAAUGAUAAAACAGGACCUCAGUUCUAUUUUGUUGGUUUUCGGAAUAUGAGGUAAUGAUCAAUAUGGACUGGCGGGGGCAUUCGUAUUGCGACGUUAGAGGUGAAAUUCUUGGAUCGUCGCAAGACGCACUAGAGCGAAAGCAUUUGCCAAGUAUGUCUUAAUUGAUCAAGAACGAAAGUUAGAGGUUCGAAGGCGAUCAGAUACCGCCCUAGUUCUAACCAUAAACGAUGCCAGCCAGCGAUCCGCCGAUGUUCCAUUAAUGACUCGGCGGGGAGCUUCUACCCGGGAAACCAAAGCUUUUGGGUUCCGGGGGAAGUAUGGUUGCAAAGCUGAAACUUAAAGGAAUUGACGGAAGGGCACCACCAGGAGUGGAGCCUGCGGCUUAAUUUGACUCAACACGGGAAACCUCACCAGGCCAGGACAUUGGAAGGAUUGACAGAUUGAUAGCUCUUUCUUGAUUCAGUGGGUAGUGGUGCAUGGCCGUUC